GCCGUUUUAGCUCAGCAGGUAGAGCACUUCCAUGGUAAGGAAGAGGUCAUCGGUUCAAAUCCGAUAAACGGCU
rfam:Lactobacillus similis DSM 23365 = JCM 2765 strain DSM 23365 NODE_506, whole genome shotgun sequence.